rnacentral:lncRNA from 1 species
GGCUCCUACUGGUCUUAAUGGUGUUCAGCGGUGUGCUCAUCCUCUCGGUCAGCAUCCUGGGCUUUCAAGAUGUUCAGUUCAGCAGGAGUCUCCAGGGAACUGAGACAGGCGUGCAGAAUAUUACUCAGACGAUCAAGGAGGAGCUCACCAGCCUCAAAGCCAAAAGGAACAGCACUGCGGGGAGACUGGAGAAGCUGAAGAAAACAUUGGAAGAGGAGGUCGAUAGGAUGUUGCACGUGCUUCAUAUGACCCAGACUCAGAUGGUCAUGCUAGAACAGAAUUCCAGGGCUUUGCACUGUGAAAUUGUCGAACUGAAGAGCAACGGUAAAAAAAACCAGACCGGCCGGAUGGUCUUUAUUUUAUGAUUGCUCUCCUCUCCUCUUCUCUCCCCCCUCCCCUCCCUUCCCCUUCAUUUCUUCUCUUUUCUCAUCUAUUCUUCUCUUCAUCUCUUCUCUUAUUUUUUCCUCCCCUCCCCUCCCGUCCUCCCCUCCCCAC